rnacentral:rRNA from 1 species
CCUACGGGUGGCUGCAGUGAGGAAUAUUGGUCAAUGGGCGCAAGCCUGAACCAGCCAAGUCGCGUGAGGGAUGACGGUCCUAUGGAUUGUAAACCUCUUUUGUCGGGGAGCAAGGCCCGCCACGUGUGGCGGGAAGGAUAGUACCCGCAGAAAAAGCAUCGGCUAACUCCGUGCCAGCAGCCGCGGUAAUACGGAGGAUGCGAGCGUUAUACGGAUUUAUUGGGUUUAAAGGGUGCGUAGGCGGACGGUUAAGUCAGCGGUCAAAUGUCGGUGCUCAACACCGGCCUGCCGUUGAAACUGGUAGACUGGAGUGAGCGAGAGGUAAGCGGAAUGCGUGGUGUAGCGGUGAAAUGCGUAGAUAUCACGAAGAACAUCGAUUGCGAAGGCAGCAUACCGGCGCACAACUGACGCUGAGGCGCGAAAGCGUGGGGAUCGAACAGGAUUAGAUACCCCUGUAGUC